AAAAGGGACUACAGUUAUUUUUAAAUUUGGAAUCAAAGGAGGAAAUAUAGAUUGUAAAUUAAGGUUGGCUGAAUUUAUUCAGGAAUUUGCCAGACUGAAUAUGUAAUUUCUAGAGUGUGAAUGAAACAAAAAUGAAGUUUCUAAGUGAUCUCUUUGUCUUUCUCUCUUUGUCUAUAUCUUCAGUUUCAUCCCUGACUAGUCCCAGGAUGGAAAGACAGGUGAUUUUCUCUCUCCUUACUCUUAUAUCCUGAAAUGGUUAAUGAAACCGAUUCCAGGUUGGCUACUUCAAUGAUCAUUCGAUGGCAGUAUUAUUUAAUAACGAAAUGACUAUAAGUCAAAAUACUAGCACAAAGAAAAAUACCUAUUCUAUAUGGCAAGAUUUUUGUCAGACGUUUACUAAUGAGCCAUAUAUUUAAAAAGAAGCUGUAAUGAAAAACAUUACUGAUCAUUCUUUGAAGUUUGUAAUCUAUACUGUCUCCUUUUGUUUAGGGCCCCAAAUAAGAUGUGUAUGAAUGUUGCAAUUUUGUGUAACUCAGGGAUAAGCAUUCAUUGAUAUCGUUUAUCCUUUUUUCUCUUGUAAAAUAGUAUAAUAAAAACCCUGAAAUAAUAGUUAUAUUUAUGGGCUUUGCUAUUUGUUGAACAAAAUCCUUUAUAGAUAAUAUUCAGUGACGAGCCAUCACUCUCUUUGAUUUU
rnacentral:lncRNA from 1 species